rnacentral:rRNA from 1 species
ACGAACGCUGGCGGCGUGCUUAACACCUGCAAGUCGCACGGAAAGGCCCUGCUUGCCGGGUACUCGAGUGGCGAACGGGUGAGUAACACGUGGGUGAUCUGCCCUGCACUUCGGGAUAAGCCUGGGAAACUGGGUCUAAUACCGGAUAGGAGCCAUUUUUAGUGUGAUGGUUGGAAAGUUUUUUCGGUGUAGGAUGAGCUCGCGGCCUAUCAGCUUGUUGGUGGGGUAAUGGCCUACCAAGGCGGCGACGGGUAGCCGGCCUGAGAGGGUGGACGGCCACAUUGGGACUGAGAUACGGCCCAGACUCCUACGGGAGGCAGCAGUGGGGAAUAUUGCACAAUGGGCGCAAGCCUGAUGCAGCGACGCCGCGUGGGGGAUGACGGCCUUCGGGUUGGAAACUCCUUUCGCUAGGGACGAAGCUUUUUGUGACGGUACCUAGAGAAGAAGCACCGGCUAACUACGUG